rnacentral:rRNA from 1 species
UACGUAGGGUGCAAGCGUUGUCCGGAAUUAUUGGGCGUAAAGGGCGCGUAGGCGGCAUGGCAAGUGGAUGGUGAAAUCCCUCGGCUUAACCGAGGAACUGCCGUCCAAACUGCUUCGCUUGAGACCGGGAGAGGUGAGUGGAAUUCCCAGUGUAGCGGUGAAAUGCGUAGAUAUUGGGAGGAACACCAGUGGCGAAGGCGGCUCACUGGACCGGUACUGACGCUGAGGAGCGAAAGCGUGGGGAGCGAACAGG